rnacentral:rRNA from 1 species
CGAGGACGACGCUGGCGGCGUGCUUAACACAUGCAAGUCGAACGGUAAGGCCCUUCGGGGUACACGAGUGGCGAACGGGUGAGUAACACGUGGGUGAUCUGCCCUGCACUUCGGGAUAAGCCUGGGAAACUGGGUCUAAUACCGGAUAGGACCAUGGACUUCACGGUUUGUGGUGGAAAGCUUUUGCAGUGUGGGAUGGGCCCGCGGCCUAUCAGCUUGUUGGUGGGGUAAUGGCCUACCAAGGCGACGACGGGUAGCCGGCCUGAGAGGGUGUCCGGCCACACUGGGACUGAGAUACGGCCCAGACUCCUACGGGAGGCAGCAGUGGGGAAUAUUGCACAAUGGGCGCAAGCCUGAUGCAGCGACGCCGCGUGAGGGAUGACGGCCUUCGGGUUGUAAACCUCUUUCAAUAGGGACGAAGCGCAAGUGACGGUACCUAUAGAAGAAGCACCGGCCCACUACGUG